rnacentral:rRNA from 1 species
GACGAACGCUGGCGGCGUGCUUAACACAUGCAAGUCGAACGGAAAGGCCCUGCUUUUGCGGGGUGCUCGAGUGGCGAACGGGUGAGUAACACGUGAGUAACCUGCCCUUGACUUUGGGAUAACUUCAGGAAACUGGGGCUAAUACCGGAUAGGAGCUCCUGCUGCAUGGUGGGGGUUGGAAAGUUUCGGCGGUUGGGGAUGGACUCGCGGCUUAUCAGCUUGUUGGUGGGGUAGUGGCUUACCAAGGCUUUGACGGGUAGCCGGCCUGAGAGGGUGACCGGCCACAUUGGGACUGAGAUACGGCCCAGGCUCCUACGGGAGGCAGCAGUGGGGAAUAUUGCACAAUGGGCGGAAGCCUGAUGCAGCAGCGCCGCGUGCGGGAUGACGGCCUUCGGGUUGGAAACCGCUUUCGCCUGUGACGAAGCGUGAGGGACGGUAAUGGGUAAAGAAGCACCGGCUAACUACGUG